rnacentral:rRNA from 1 species
GGCAACCCUGGCGGAGCAACGCCGCGUGGGGGAGGAAUGUCUGUGGAUUGUAAACCCCUUUUCUCAGGGAAGAAGCUCUGACGGUACCUGAGGAAUCAGCAUCGGCUAACUCCGUGCCAGCAGCCGCGGUAAGACGGAGGAUGCAAGCGUUAUCCGGAAUUAUUGGGCGUAAAGCGUCCGUAGGCGGUUUAUCAAGUCUGCCGUUAAAGACUGCAGCUUAACUGUGGGCGAGCGGUGGAAACUGAUGAACUAGAGUGCGGUAGGGGUAGAGGGAAUUCCCAGUGUAGCGGUGAAAUGCGUAGAUAUUGGGAAGAACACCAGUGGCGAAGGCGCUCUACUGGGCCGUAACUGACGCUGAGGGACGAAAGCUAGGGGAGCG